rnacentral:lncRNA from 1 species
CUGAUCUUUCCUGGUAAUCUGAGUAAGGUGAAUAGAUACUUGGUGACGAGACCGGUCUUAUUGUCUCCCAUUGGCACGUAAGAAAAAAGAUUGACAGUAUCAAGUGAACGGAAUGUAGGGGGUGGGCUGCAAUGUUAAUGGGAGGGGUAGCCAAAGGCUGGAGCUCAUUGAUGACGCGGCCCUCACGUGACCUGCAGUCGACGUGUGCAGAAGUCCUUAUAAUCCAGGCCCAGUUCCUCAGUAGCAGCUCAGUCUUGCUAAAGAGGAGGGGCCCGGCUUCUUUCAGGACUCUUGAUCUUUUGGGCGCGACAUAAAAUCGAGGUUCAAGAAGAGAAAAAAAUCUCCAGAUACCUACAGGUCAGUGCAAGGGUGCGAUUGCUUCAGGUCCCUUUGGGUGGGGGUAGAAGUGUGGAAGACACCAAAGCACAUCCCAGGGGCGCCACAGCCUCUUCUUAUCCGGAUAUCUGCACGGGAGGCCAGUGCAGAUCCUGCUGCGGAAAUGAGGUGAAAAAGGGAAAGGGAGAGGAAAAAAAACAUUUAAAAGAGAGAGAGGAGGCCGCUGAGCGUACUGUUUGCUGGUUAGAGGCUGCGGAUGGGAUGACUUGGAAAAGCCUGAAAGGGCGGGAGUGUUAGAGCCUUGUGGGAAGGGAUGGGUUAAUUGCUUCCCCGCCGCUCCCAUUUCGGUGCUAGGAGAGGUUUAUUGCAGGGCCUGCUGGGAAAAUGGUGGGCUGGAGCCGGGACAGGAGAAGAUGGAGUUAGAGAGCUAGGAGAAGGGGGAGGGAAGGGAGGUGGAGGAAGGGGUGGAGUCAGGAGCUCAGAGCCUGACUUUGCUAGUUAGAAAACUUUUUUGCUGUUAGAGACUUGAAUCAGAAAAGUCCGUCGCUAUGGGAACGGGAGAGCCUGUCCAGUUGCCUGGCACCAAGUCGGUUUUGUUUGCUUGUUUUGUUUUUUUUUUCUAGGA